rnacentral:rRNA from 1 species
GUACACUCCUACGGGAGGCAGCAGUGGGGAAUAUUGCACAAUGGGCGCAAGCCUGAUGCAGCCAUGCCGCGUGUAUGAAGAAGGCCUUCGGGUUGUAAAGUACUUUCAGCGGGGAGGAAGGCGAUAAGGUUAAUAACCUUGUUGAUUGACGUUACCCGCAGAAGAAGCACCGGCUAACUCCGUGCCAGCAGCCGCGGUAAUACGGAGGGUGCAAGCGUUAAUCGGAAUUACUGGGCGUAAAGCGCACGCAGGCGGUCUGUCAAGUCGGAUGUGAAAUCCCCGGGCUCAACCUGGGAACUGCAUUCGAAACUGGCAGGCUAGAGUCUUGUAGAGGGGGGUAGAAUUCCAGGUGUAGCGGUGAAAUGCGUAGAGAUCUUGAGGAAUACCGGUGGCGAAGGCGGCCCCCUGGACAAAGACUGACGCUCAGGUGCGAAAGCGUGGGGAGCAAACAGGAUUAGAAACCCCGGUAGUCCCAU